CUUUACUGUUCGUCAGCAAAACGUUGGCGCAUAUUUUGUAUCUAUCGUUUGAUUACGUGCAACAUUGCACGCAAAUCAACGCGCCAAAAUACUAACAUUGACCGUGGCAGAGCACUUGACACCAAACGUGUCAACUGAUAUCGCUCAAUAUAAAUUUAAUGCGAAGUAAACAUCGAAACACGACCGAAGAUGUACAUAGCUAAGCUGAUGAAAUCCAGGGAACUGUACCUGCCAUCUUAUGAUUGUAAGAAGAACUAGUUUCCUGCAAAAGUUUACGCACCAAGUCAGAAGCAAAAAUAAGUUUCAAGGAAUAUGUUAUCUUUUGCAAAGGUUAUAAGGAAACUUGGGAAUACCGUCAUGUUUCGAUUCUGGCUAAAUUUUGUAUACAAGCUCCUUUUUUUCGAAAGAUUUGUGAGGACGGUUUUUGACGACUCGAAUUAUGGAGAGAUGCAGUAUAGUGUGCAACCUGUUCUGAACACAACAAUUCAUAUACCGAGAGGCGACGUCACAUCUUCUGGCGCUAGGUGGAAUAUUCCUUGUGCUCGAAGUUUGUAAUUUUAAACUGUUCAGAUUAAUUUUAUGGCACUGACAAAUGUAGCUAGAUGGCUGGAUGGUAAAUGUAGUGGUUCUGGAUUAUUUUAAACAAGAAAGCUACGUAAUUUAAAAUCAAAAUAAGCUAUAAUCGAUUUUAAACACCAUGAAAUAAAAAAGGAACGAUCAUGACGAUAGGAAGAGGUUUUCAAACUGGAAUCAUUUCUUUCACCGUUAUCUGCGACAACAUGAAUUUCCUGCAUCCAGAAUGUUCACAAAAGUAUUUCUAAUCGAUAACGGUCAAGUGUGUUCGUUCGAUCGAUAACACAUUACGUUCAUAAAACGUAAUCUGCGUAACGAAGUAGAUGAAAAUCCAGUUAGAACACGAAAGAAACUACCAAUAUAAUGAGAUAA
rnacentral:lncRNA from 1 species